UGCGGCUGUAGUUUAGUGGUAUGACAUGAGCUUCCCAAGCUUAUAACCCGGGUUCGAAUCCCGGCAGCCGCAU
rnacentral:tRNA from 1 species